UAUGGUAAGGUUUAAGGUUUUUGGCGGUACGGUUAAAAUCACUGUCCAAAACCUUUGUAGGAACUCUUUUCCAACCUUUUGGAGUCAGUUAGACCCAAAAAAAAGAGAAAUGAAAAAAAAAUAUUUGGGGUUUUCAGGCUUCCUGGAGGUAAUACCCUAAUAUUAGGUUUUGGGGCUAGGGUAAGGUUUGAGGUUUUUGGCGUUAGGGUUAAAAUCACUGUCCAAAACCUUUUUAGGAACAUGUUUCAGACCUUUUGGAGUUGGUUACAUACAAAAAAAAUGUAAAAUGAAAAAAAAAAUAUUUGGGGUGUUCGGGCUUCCUGAAGGUAAUACCCGGGUAUUAGGUUAUGGGGCUAUGGUAAGGGUUCAGUUUUUUGGCAUUAGGGUUAAAAUCAUUGUCCAAAACCUUUGUAGGAACUCUUUCCAACCUUUUGGAGUUAGUUAGACCAAAAAAAAAAGAAAAAUGAAAAAAAAAUAUUUGGGGUGUUCGGGCUUCCUGAAGGUAAUACCCGGGUAUUAGGUUAUGGGGCUUAGGAAAUGUUUAAGGUUUUUGGCGUUAGGGUUAAAAUCACUGUCCAAAAACCUUUGUAGGAACUCUUUUCCAACCUUUUGGAGUUAGGUUGACCAAAAAAAAAAAAAAAAAAAAAAAAAAAAAAUAUUUGGGGUGUUCGGGCUUCCUGAAGGUAAUACCCGGGUAUUAGGUUUUGGUGCUAGGGUAAGGUUUGAGGUUUUUGGCAUUAGGGUUAAAAUCACUGUCCAAAACCUUUUUAGGAACACCUUUCAGACCUUUUGGAGUUUGUACACCAAAAAAAAAUGUAAAAUGAAAAAAAAAUAUUUGGGGUGUUCGGGCUUCCUGAAGGUAAUACCCGGGUAUCAGGUUAUGGGGCUAUGGUAAGGUUUAAGGUUUUUGGCGUUAGGGUUAAAAUCACUGUCCAAAACCUUUGUAGGAACUCUUUUCCAAACUUUUGGAGUCAGUUAGACCAAAAAAAAAUGAAAAAUGAAAUAAAAAAUAUUUGGGGUGUUCAGGCUUCCUGAAGGUAAUACCCGGGUAUUAGGUUAUGGGGCUUAGGAAAUGUUUAAGGUUUUUGGCGUUAGGGUUAAAAUCACUGUCCAAAAACCUUUGUAGGAACUCUUUUCCAACCUUUUGGAGUUAGGUUGACCAAAAAAAAAAAGAAAAAAGAAAAAAAAAUAUUUGGGGUGUUCGGGCUUCCUGAAGGUAAUACCCGGGUAUUAGGUUUUUGGGCUAGGGUAAGGUUUGAGGUUUUUGGCAUUAGGGUUAAAAUCACUGUCCAAAACCUUUUUAGGAACACGUUUCAGACCUUUUGGAGUUUGUACACCGAAAAAAAAAUGUAAAAUUAAAAAAAAAUAUUUGGGGUGUUCGGGCUUCCUGAAGGUAAUACCCGGGUAUCAGGUUAUGGGGCUAUGGUAAGGUUUAAGGUUUUUGGCGUUACGGUUAAAAUCACUGUCCAAAACCUUUGUAGGAACUCUUUUCCAACCUUUUGGAGUCAGUUAGACCAAAAAAAAGGGAAAUGAAAAAAAUAUUUGGGGUUUUCAGGCUUCCUGGAGGUAAUACCCUAAUAUUAGGUUUUGGGGCUAGGGUAAGGUUUGAGGUUUUUGGCGUUAGGGUUAAAAUCACUGUCCAAAACCUUUUUAGGAACAUGUUUCAGACCUUUUUGAGUUGGUUACAUAUAAAAAAAAAUGUAAAAUGAAAAAAAAAAUAUUUGGGGUGUUCGGGCUUCCUGAAGGUAAUACCCGGGUAUUAGGUUAUGGGGCUAUGGUAAGGGUUCAGUUUUUUAGCAUUAGGGUUAAAAUUAUUGUCCAAAACCUUUGUAGGAACUCUUUUCCAACCUUUUGGAGUUAGUUAGACCAAAAAAAAAAAAAAAAUGAAAAAAAAAUAUUUGGGGUGUUCGGGCUUCCUGAAGGUAAUAGGUUAUGGGGCUAUGGUAAGGUUUAAGGUUUUUGACGUUAGGGUGAAAAUAACUUUCCAAAACCUUUGUAGGAACUCUUUUCCAACCUUAUGGAGUUCGUUAGACCAAAAAAAAAAGAAAAAUGAAAAAAAAAUAUUUGGGGUGUUCGGGCUUCCUGAAGGUAAUACCCGGGUAUUAGGUUAUGGGGCUUAGGAAAUGUUUAAGGUUUUUGGCGUUAGGGUUAAAAUCACUGUCCAAAAACCUUUGUAGGAACUCUUUUCCAACCUUUUGGAGUUAGGUUGACCAAAAAAAAAAGAAAAAUGAAAAAAAAAUAUUUGGGGUGUUCGGGCUUCCUGAAGGUAAUACCCGGGUAUUAGGUUAUGGGGCUAUGGUAAGGUUUAAGGUUUUUGACGUUAGGGUGAAAAUAACUGUCCAAAGCCUUUGUAGGAACUCUUUUCCAACCUUUUGGAGUCAGUUAGACCAAAAAAAAUGAAAAUGAAAUAAAAAAUAUUUGGGGUGUUCAGGCUUCCUGAAGGUAAUACCCGGGUAUUAGGUUAUGGGGCUUAGGAAAUGUUUAAGGUUUUUGGCGUUAGGGUUAAAAUCACUGUCCAAAAACCUUUGUAGGAACUCUUUUCCAACCUGUUGGAGUUAGGUUGACCAAAAAAAAAAAGAAAAAAGAAAAAAAAAUAUUUGGGGUGUUCGGGCUUCCUGAAGGUAAUACCCGGGUAUUAGGUUUUGGGGCUAGGUUAAGGUUUGAGGUUUUUGGCAUUAGGGUUAAAAUCACUGUCCAAAACCUUUUUAGGAACACGUUUCAGACCUUUUGGAGUUUGUACACCGAAAAAAAAAUGUAAAAUUAAAAAAAAAUAUUUGGGGUGUUCGGGCUAAGGUUUAAGGUUUUUGGCGUUACGGUUAAAAUCACUGUCCAAAACCUUUGUAGGAACUCUUUUCCAACCUUUUGGAGUCAGUUAGACCCAAAAAAAAGAGAAAUGAAAAAAAUAUUUGGGGUUUUCAGGCUUCCUGGAGGUAAUACCCUAAUAUUAGGUUUUGGGGCUAGGGUAAGGUUUGAGGUUUUUGGCGUUAGGGUUAAUAUCAAUGUCCAAAACCUUUGUAGGAACAUGUUUCAGACCUUUUGGAGUUGGUUACAUACAAAAAAAAUGUAAAAUGAAAAAAAAUAUAUUUGGGGUGUUCGGGCUUCCUGAAGGUAAUACCCGGGUAUUAGGUUAUGGGGCUAUGGUAAGGGUUCAGUUUUUUGGCAUUAGGGUUAAAAUUAUUGUCCAAAACCUUUGUAGGAACUCUUUUCCAACCUUUUGGAGUUAGUUAGACCAAAAAAAAAAAAAAAUGAAAAAAAAAAAUAUUUGGGGUGUUCGGGCUUCCUGAAGGUAAUACCCGGGUAUUAGGUUAUGGGGCUAUGGUAAGGUUUAAGUUUUUUGACGUUAGGGUGAAAAUAACUUUCCAAAACCUUUGUAGGAACUCUUUUCCAACCUUAUGGAGUUCGUUAGACCAAAAAAAAAGAAAAAUGAAAAAAAAAUAUUUGGGGUGUUCGGGCUUCCUGAAGGUAAUACCCGGGUAUUAGGUUAUGGGGCUUAGGAAAUGUUUAAGGUUUUUGGCGUUAGGGUUAAAAUCACUGUCCAAAAACCUUUGUAGGAACUCUUUUCCAACCUUUUGGAGUUAGGUUGACCAAAAAAAAAAAGAAAAAAGAAAAAAAAAUAUUUGGGGUGUUCGGGCUUCCUGAAGGUAAUACCCGGGUAUUAGGUUUUGGUGCUAGGGUAAGGUUUGAGGUUUUUGGCAUUAGGGUUAAAAUCACUGUCCAAAACCUUUUUAGGAACACCUUUAAGACAUUUUGGAGUUUUACACCAAAAAAAAAAUGUAAAAUGAAAAAAAAAUAUUUGGGGUGUUCGGGCUUCCUGAAGGUAAUACCCGGGUAUCAGGUUAUGGGGCUAUGGUAAGGUUUAAGGUUUUUGGCGUUAGGGUUAAAAUCACUGUCCAAAACCUUUGUAGGAACUCUUUUCCAAACUUUUGGAGUCAGUUAGACCAAAAAAAAAUGAAAAAUGAAAUAAAAAAUAUUUGGGGUGUUCAGGCUUCCUGAAGGUAAUACCCGGGUAUUAGGUUUUGGGGCUAGGGUAAGGUUUGAGGUUUUUGGCAUUAGGGUUAAAAUCACUGUCCAAAACCUUUUUAGGAACAUGUUUCAGACCUUUUGGAGUUGGUUACAUACAAAAAAAAUGUAAAAUGAAAAAAAAAAUAUUUGGGGUGUUCAGGCUUCCUGAAGGUAAUACCCGGGUAUUAGGUUAUGGGGCUAUGGUAAGGGUUCAGUUUUUUGGCAUUAGGGUUAAAAUUAUUGUCCAAAACCUUUGUAGGAACUCUUUUCCAACUUUUUGGAGUUAGUUAGACCAAAAAAAAAAGCAAAAUGAAAAAAAUAUAUUUUGGGUUUUCGGGCUUCCUGAAGGCAAUACCCGGGAAUCAGUUUCUGGGGCUUUGGAAAGGUUUAAGGUUUUUGGCGUUAGGGUUAAAAUCACUGUCCAAAACCUUUGUAGGAACUCUUUUCCAAGCUUUUUGAGUUAGUUAGACCAAAAAAAAUGAAAAAUGAAAUAAAAAAUAUAUUGAUUGCAAAAAUAUAUCAAGGUCCAAAGGUGGUGUGCGCACUUGUCUGUGGUCAUUUACCAUUAUAAUGAAUGGGAGGCGCAGUUUCUACCAAAACACUUGCUGCAGACAAACUUCAUGAUCCAUAUGAAAAAAGUCUGGACCAUGAGUGAGGGCACAAACACAGCUAGUAUAUAUCCAAAUGGCAAGUUGCUCCUCCUUUCGGUUUUGCAGAGAGAGCGGUGUGUUUGAGCCAUUGAGCGAUGGGCAGGAAAAACUUGACUUUUUCUCCUGCCUUGGGGGGGGCGCUCUUUUGGUGAGAAAAAAAUGACUUCACAAAUGUUUUGAUGGCUGAACAUUGCAUCAUCCUAGAAAACUUGGAUGAGUGGCCAAAACUUCUUUGUCUGCUGUAAAAUCAAAUUGGAUUAAUAUUUUUUCCAGAUUUUUUUUUGUACAUCUCUUAUUUUACUUCUGCCC
rnacentral:lncRNA from 1 species